rnacentral:tRNA from 1 species
CGACUAGCCACCACCGCCAGCAAGGUCGUGCAGGAGGCGUACUUGUUGC